CCUACGGGUGGCAGCAGUAGGGAAUCUUCCACAAUGGGCGAAAGCCUGAUGGAGCAACGCCGCGUGGGUGAAGAAGGUCUUCGGAUCGUUAAACCUCGUUGUUAGAGAAGAAAGGGCGUGAGAGUAACCGUUGAUGUUUCGACGGUAUCUAACCAGAACGCCACGGCUAACUCCGGGCCAGCAGCUGCGGCAAAACGUAGGAGGCAAGCGUUAUCCGGUUUUAUUGGGCGUAAAGGGAACGCAGGUGGUCUUUUAAGUCUGGUGUGAAAGCCCUCGGCUUAACCGGAGUAGUGCAUUGGAAACUGGGAGUCUUGAGUGCAGAAGAGGUAGGUGGAACUCGAGGUGUAGCGGUGAAAUGCGUAGAUAUCUGGAAGAACACCGAUGGCGAAGGCAGCAUUCUGGUCUGUAACUGACGCUGAGGUUCGAAAGCGUGGGUAGCAAACAGGAUUAGAUACCCGAGUAGUC
rnacentral:rRNA from 1 species